CCUACGGGUGGCUGCAGUGGGGAAUAUUGGACAAUGGGCGAAAGCCUGAUCCAGCCAUGCCGCGUGUGUGAAGAAGGCCUUCGGGUUGUAAAGCACUUUCAGUGGGGAAGAAAGCCUUGGGGCUAAUACCCUCGAGGAAGGACAUCACCCACAGAAGAAGUACCGGCUAACUCCGUGCCAGCAGCCGCGGUAAUACGGAGGGUGCGAGCGUUAAUCGGAAUUACUGGGCGUAAAGCGCGCGUAGGCGGUCUGAUAAGCCGGUUGUGAAAGCCCCGGGCUCAACCUGGGAACGGCAUCCGGAACUGUCAGGCUAGAGUGCAGGAGAGGAAGGUAGAAUUCCCGGUGUAGCGGUGAAAUGCGUAGAGAUCGGGAGGAAUACCAGUGGCGAAGGCGGCCUUCUGGACUGACACUGACGCUGAGGUGCGAAAGCGUGGGUAGCAAACAGGAUUAGAUACCCUUGUAGUC
rnacentral:rRNA from 1 species